rnacentral:misc_RNA from 1 species
GUGAGUCAUCGAAUCUUUGAACGCACAUUGCGCCCUAUAGUAUUCUGUAGGGCAUGCCUGUUCGAGCGUCAUUUAACCCCUCAAGCCCAGCUUGGUAUUGGGUGCUUGUCCCGCCUCCUGCGCGGCGACUCACCUCAAAGUCAUUGGCAGCCCGCAAUCGCCGGCCGUGAGCGCAGCACAGACGCGCUUGUGGAAUCCGGCGGCUCGGCUCUCCAAAAGCUUAUUUCAACCACAAUUGACCUCGGAUCAGGUAGGGAUACCCGCUGAACUUAAGCAUAUCAAUAAGCGGAGGA